GUUAUCUUCUCAUUGUAUGGUGUUUCAUAAUGUUUUUUUUCACACAAAUGUAAUCCACGCCCAAUGUUUUCUCUGUUUAGAUGUUCAUUUCCUGGAAGAAACCACUGACAGAGCUGGUGCUGCCAUUAACUGUUUACAUUCGUGUUUAUUUAACAUAAAACAUACCCCUGGA